rnacentral:rRNA from 1 species
UGAACGCUGGCGGCGUGCUUAACACAUGCAAGUCGAACGAACCUUCGGGUUAGUGGCGGACGGGUGAGUAACGCGUGAGAAUCUGCCCUCAGGAGGGGGAUAACGGUUGGAAACGACCGCUAAUACCCCAUAUGCCUACUGGUGAAAUGAAUUUCGCCUGAGGAUGAGCUCGCGUCUGAUUAGCUAGUUGGUGAGGUAAUGGCUUACCAAGGCUUCGAUCAGUAGCUGGUCUGAGAGGAUGAUCAGCCACACUGGGACUGAGACACGGCCCAGACUCCUACGGGAGGCAGCAGUGGGGAAUUUUCCGCAAUGGGCGAAAGCCUGACGGAGCAACGCCGCGUGAGGGACGAAGGCCUCUGGGCUGUAAACCUCUUUUCUCAAGGAAGAAGAUAUGACGGU